CAGCUGCUUUCUAGUGCUGAGCUUUUUCAGAGGUACAUGGGCUGAUUUUGGUCUCUGUACAAUGGCUUCCUAUUUCAGUAAGAUUUGCCAGGGUUUAUGCUCCAAUGACACAGUCUUCAAGAACCAAGUCAACCUUUCAGCCAUGAUGGGGCAUCCAAAUGGGACUUCAGUGAAGGGCAUGGGACCGGAACUUUUGUCUCUUCGGAACAACUGCUGCAGUUCUGAGCCCUGCUAGGAUUCCCCUGGGCAUGUAGCCUAAGGAAAACCCCUUCCAUUUGAAUGAGAUGAGGUGAGAUCUCUCAAGACAGUUGUGAAAAUUGAGUAAGGCUUCAUCUACUUCAGAGUUGGAGUAGGCCUGAAGGUCCUUGAGCAUUGAUUCAAGAGCAUCCCUUUCUGCUAUCCUCCCAUGACAGCAUUUUCUCCCUACUUCAGUCAAAUAUGGGCAACUAUGUGCUUAUUGGCCAAGUUCAAUUUCUUGGGCAGUUCCCUCAUUUAGAAUGUAAGACUCUCAGCCAAUGAGAAUGAUGGUCAGUGGUGGGAGGGGUAUUUGCAUUGGGACUAUUUAAAGUGUAAAAUCUGUCCUAAAAGGUGCUUCUUCCCUUCGAUUGCUUGUUCCAUGGGAGGGAUGCCCAUUUCUGGAGAGAACAUACAAUAAACUUUUGCUUUGCUUCUA